GUCCUACGGGAGGCAGCAGUGGGGAAUAUUGGGCAAUGGGCGCAAGCCUGACCCAGCAACGCCGCGUGAAGGAAGAAGGCUUUCGGGUUGUAAACUUCUUUUCUCAGGGACGAAGAAAGUGACGGUACCUGAGGAAUAAGCCACGGCUAACUACGUGCCAGCAGCCGCGGUAAUACGUGGGUGGCAAGCGUUAUCCGGAUUUACUGGGUGUAAAGGGCGUGUAGGCGGGGAAGCAAGUCAGAUGUGAAAUCCUGCGGCUUAACCGCAGAACUGCAUUUGAAACUGUUGAUCUUGAGUACUGGAGA
rnacentral:rRNA from 1 species